UCAAGGCAGAAACACAGCAGGGCUCCCCUCCCAGAAGCCCUGGGUAUUUUGGAAUCUGGUAUUUUGAACACCAGCAAGUUGGAGAUUCCCCCAACAGCUUGGUCCACAGGAAAAGGUGCCUUCAGCUGCAUGCCACAGUCCAGCUCAUGCCAAGGAGAACCAUUCUGCAGGGGUGUGUGUGUGCACCCUCAUCUAGGGUGCCUGCUUUUUCCUUCUGGAGGCAGACAGCAAGGAAGGGUUUGCUCUUCUUGGUGUUUUUUUGCAGUCUGACCUGCAUUCAAGUUUCAAACUUCUAAGUGUAAGCACUACAUUUUUGGUUAUUAUCAGACAGGUAUUUGGUAGGAAUAUAAGAAAGGCUAGAGCUUUUUUCCCCCUUUAGAUGCUUUGUCAACCUUGCUGUGUUAAUAAACAGCAUUGAAGAAAAGCCUCCAGAGUAAACACAGAGGCACAAAUGAAUGUAGGCAAUGGCAUCACCAAAAAUUGAGGCUGUUGUGAUUAUCUUAUUCAAAGGGAGAGUUCAAGAGUACCAGCAGACUCCUCUGUCCCAGAUUAAACUGCAAUCUCUCUA